rnacentral:rRNA from 1 species
AGUCGACGGUGAUGAAGAGCUUGCUCUUUGGAUCAGUGGCGAACGGGUGAGUAACACGUGAGCAAUCUGCCCUUGACUCUGGGAUAACUGCGGGAAACUGUAGCUAAUACCGGAUACGACCUGGAGAGGCAUCUUUUUGGGUGGAAAGAAUUUUGGUCAAGGAUGAGCUCGCGGCCUAUCAGCUUGUUGGUGAGGUAAUGGCUCACCAAGGCGACGACGGGUAGCCGGCCUGAGAGGGUGACCGGCCACACUGGGACUGAGACACGGCCCAGACUCCUACGGGAGGCAGCAGUGGGGAAUAUUGCACAAUGGGCGCAAGCCUGAUGCAGCAACGCCGCGUGAGGGACGAAGGCCUUCGGGUUGUAAACCUCUUUUAGUAGGGAAGAAGCGACUGGGUUUUCCUGGGAGUGACGGUACCUGCAGAAAAAGCACCGGCUAACUACGUGCCAGCAGCCGCGGUAAUACGUAGGGUGCAAGCGUUGUCCGGAAUUAUUGGGCGUAAAGAGCUCGUAGGCGGUUUGUCGCGUCUGCUGUGAAAACCCGAGGCUCAACCUCGGGCCUGCAGUGGGUACGGGCAGACUAGAGUGCGGUAGGGGAGAUUGGAAUUCCUGGUGUAGCGGUGGAAUGCGCAGAUAUCAGGAGGAACACCAAUGGCGAAGGCAGAUCUCUGGGCCGUAACUGACGCUGAGGAGCGAAAGCAUGGGGAGCG